GACUCCGCCCAGCCGCGCCACCCAGGUAGGUGCGCCUGCGCUUUGCGAGGUUCCUGGCUAGGGAGGCGGCCUUGGCUGGCUUGACCGUCAUCCUUGAGGCCUGCGGGGCAACGGUGGCUGUCCUUGGCCCGGCUUUGGAAUGUGGCUUUGCAGGGCUGGUGUUGGCGCCAUUCUCGCAGGCCCACGUGCUCCUGCUCUUCCAGGGUGUCCUCGGCUGUUUCUCCUGCCGCGGCGCAGCAGCGCUCCCAGGCUGCCCCCGCGAUAACACGCCCCUGGCAGCCAGGCUCCCAGCUCUGUUACGUGCCCGGGCGGGGAAGAGCUUCCUGGUGUCUCCCGGCUCCUGCCCUUCUCCCGCCCCAGGGGCGGGCUGCCGCCGCCCUCUGCAGCUGAGUCAGUGCAGUUCCUCACCUACCUUCUCUGCUCACCGCUGUGUGCUAGCAAUCGGAGGACCCUUGGCACACGGAGCGACAGGGGCCUCCCCCACAGACACCUCAUUUUGGGAAAGAAGUGAGCAAUUUAUUGAGUCUUAAAAAAUACAAAGGCAUAGUUCCCCUUAAUCUAUCAGGCUUCCAGCUCUAAAGAAUGUCUCUAGUAUUGCGGGGUGGGGCUGCGCUUAAAAACGCAGACGCUUUGGUUUUAGUACCAGCAACGUUAAAAAUCUUCUAUCUUGUAUGAGUGAAUGUGUAUCCCUUGUGAUCAGUUAUUUGCAUUUGCAGUUACACCUUCAUUCAGCUAAUUGCUGUCUUGAUUUGAAUCCAGGUUCUAGAAUGUACUAGCUCCGAAACCUCAGGCAAGUUAAAUGUUUUUGUGCUUCAUUUUCCUAAUCCACAAAGUGGCAAUAGAAGAAUUUAUCUCUUUAGGUUUUGUCUUGAGGAUUAAAACCGUUAAUACUUAGAGCUGUGCCUGGUAAAUGGCAAGCCUUUAUAUUAAGAUCUGGACCGUUCUGUGCUUUGAAGUGUAUGACCUAAAGCAGAUGUAGGCAUUCUAUAAGUAACACUAGCAUAAAGGUGUAUGGUAAAUUCUAGAGGUGAAAACACUCCCAACAUAUUUUAGGUCUGAUCAUUUAAUUUUGAGGUAAUUUCUGAAAGGGCUAGAGGAGAAAGUGACAUUUAAGUUGUGUUUGAUAAAUGAUAGUAUUUUAACUGGCCAGCCUCUUGGGGGAAGUGCAUUCGGAAUGGCUUGAUCAAAGGCUCAAGAAGCCCAAGGUGCAUUUGGAAAACUGUAAGCAAGGUUUGUGUAGAUGAGUUGUAGAAAUAUAUAUAGACAGGCUGACACCACAUCGUGGAAACAGUAAACACUAGCAUAUUAAUUAGAAUAUUUUUUCCCUCAAGUAACAAAAAACCAAUUCCAAGUGGCUGAAAUAAUAAGGAAUUCAUUAUUUUACACUCCCCAGGUUGGUUAACCUGGAGGGUAACUUGGGGGCUCAGCACAUUAUCAACAACACGUUUUUUCCCCUACCUUUCCACUCUGUCACCUGGGUUGUUGGCUUCAACAAAGUAGUAAUAGAAGUAUCUGCUCUUUUGUCUUUAUUGGAAGAGCAAAACCCCCUCGUAAACUCCCAACUGACCAGAAUUACAUCAUAUUGAUUUAAGCUUAGGAUCUAUAUAAGACCACCAUAUUUGGAUUAGACCAGGUAACCGGUCUUUCUAGGCCUCCAAGAAACACUUGGCCAGGGAGGAGGAGAACAAAUUCUGUUAGGAGGAUGUUGGGGCAGAAUUGAGUGGGUAUUAAGUGGGUAAACAAUAGUGCUAUACCAGCCACAGUGGGCUUUAUAAAGAAAUUGAUAGCCACUAUAGGUUCUUGUACAAGUUUCUUUCUUUUUUUUUUUUUUUAGAUGGAGUCUCGCUCUGUGGCCAGGCUGGAGUGCAGUGGCGCGAUCUUGGCUCACUGCAACCUCCGCCUCCCCGGUUCAAGUGGUUCUCCUGCCUCAGCCUCCUGAGUAGCUGGGACUACAGGCGUGUGCCACCCCGUCCAGCUAAUUUCUGUAUUUUUAGUAGAGGCGGGGUUUCACCAUGUUGGCCAGGAUGGUCUUGUUCUCUUGACCUGGUGAUCCGCCCUCCUCAGCCUCCCAAAGUGUUGGGAUUACAGGCGUGAGCCACUGUGCCUGGCCUGUACAAGUUUUUAUCCACAGCCUGUUUCUCUUCUUGUACUUUCUCCCAGGGCAGUCCCAUUUCACGUCUGUAAUUUCUAGUACCACCUAUAUACUCAGGGUAGCAAAGGAUGUAUCUCUAACCUAGACUUCUCCCUCAGGUGACAGUCCUGGAUAUCUGACUAUUUUGUGGACAACUCUUGGAUGAUCUGAAACUGAAAGAUUCAUUCCACAAAUAGUUAUGUGUAUCUAGUAUGUGCCAAGCAUUGUUGUUUUCUUGUCCCUCGUCCCCACUCCCCUGGUGUUAGUGGGGAUAUAGCAGUGAAAAACAAAAACAAACAACAGAUUAAAAGUCCUGCCUUGACAGAAUUUAUAUUCUAGUGGAGGAGUCAUACAAACAAGAAAAGUGAGUACAUUAUGGGUGUUACAUAAUUAUAAUAGCUAAUUCGAAAUAAAGCAGGAAAUAAGGCUAGGUGCUAGGGGCAUGGGAGACCUAUCAAUUUUAUAGUGGUCAGAGAAGGCUUCAUUGAGAAGGUGACAUUUGAGUAAAGACUUGAAGGAGGUGAAGAAAUGAAACUUGAGACUUGUGACUAAUUGUCACAGCAUUCCAGGUCAAGGAAGCAGCCAAUUCCUCGUUCUAAGGCAGGAAGUCGUGUUGGGGAUGGCAGUAAGAGUGAGUGGAGCAGAGUGAGCACAAGGAGGAGCAUUCGGAGAUGAAGUCAGAGGCUGGGCCGUGCGCCCUGUUGUAGGUCAGUGAAAGGACUUUAGGUUUUACUCUAGGGUUAAAAGUCCCUAAAGGGUUUUGAGUAGAAGCUUGACAUAGUUUGAUUAAAAAAAUUUGUUUUUUCUAGUUGUUUGGUUGAGAAUAGACUGAAGUGGGGCAAAGGCAGAAGCAGAGAGACCAGAUAGGAAGCUGCUCCCAAUAAGGCUGGUGAGAGGGUGGCUUGGAUCUGGUGUAGGUGUGGUGCUCGGGCCCGAGAGAUGCAGUGAGUCAGUGCCGAGGCCAUGUCGGGGGACAGACUGCCUUGCUUUCAGUGGAGCUUGGUUCUGGAUCUGGGACAAAAGUGGUGGGAAGAUCCCAGCUCAAUUUUGAAGGUAGAACAGAUUGGACGUGACGUGGUGCACGAGAGAAAGAAAGGCAAAAGAGAUGAACCUAAGGUUUCUGAUUAAAUGUUAGACAUUGUGUAGGAAAAAAAUCACAUAGAGGCUCUGGCAAAAAAAAAAAAACUAAAUAAAUAAAUAAAAAAUAAAUAAAUAAAUUGCAUAGAGACUGUGGCUGAUGUUGUGUUUCUCCAGAAAGGAUUUAAUUUUAUUCUGGCAAGCAAUUAGAGUAGGAACGGAUGACUUUUUUUUUUUUUUUUUUUGAGGCGGAGUUUUGCUCUUGUUGCCCAGGCUGGAGUACAAUGGCACUGUCUUGGCUCACUGUGGCCUCCACCUCCCGGGUUCAAGCAAUUCUCCUGUCUCACCUCCCAGGUAGCUGGGAUUACAGGUGUGCACCACCAUGCCCGGCCAAUUUUGUAUUUUUUUAGUAGAGACUGGGUUUCACCAUGUUGAUCAGGCUGGUCUCGAACUCCUGACCUCAAGUGAUCCACCUGCAUUGGCCUCCUAAAGUACUGGGAUUACAGGUGUGAGCCCCUGCGCCUGGCCUCAGAUGACCUUUAAUUAGGGAUUCAGACUUUGUGAGGGCUGAUCAUUUUCUAGUUUGGCCUUAUCCCAGAGCUAGGCCUUUCUAUUCUUUCUCAACAUGAACAUCUGUGGUAUUUAACAGGUCCCCAUCUUUGGGUGACCUUGAACUCCAAUUUUUGUACUCCCAGCUCUGUGAGACUGUUGAAAUGUACACUUAGCAUUUUAGCUAUUUAGCAACUGUUUGGUUUCUUGAUUUCCAGUGCCCUUACAGCUUAGAAUUCAGCAAAUGCCUCAAGGAUAAAAGCCAAACUAAAUGUCAGACUGGCUUCUCUAUGAUCCUCCUUUCUUUGGGAUCUGUCCCUUCAAGUCCUAUCCGCAGUUUUCAACUCCAAUUUUUUAUCUCCCCGUAUCUGAAAGGGCCCUGAUACCUCCAGGUCACUGCUUUCUGCUCGCCAUAAAUGCCCUGCACAAAACUCAGCAAAUGACCCAAUCAGAAAAAGCAAUGGAGAAGUUCUGUAUCACUUUAUGCAUCUGUCUUCUGGGAUCCCAGUCUCUCAUGUCUUGACCAUCUUGGUUGCUCUCCAGUGUCUUCAAACAGCCUGUGUAGUUUUUGUUAUGUGUGCUUUUUUAAAUGUUCAGCUCUUGUGCUUAUUCCCAUGAGAGGACUGGUUUAAUUUAAACUAUUCAAUUACAGCUAGAGGCCAUGAUAAAGUUGUUGACUAGAGUAUCUGGAAGAAUGGAGUUGCCAUUUAGUGAUAGAGGGAACGCUGGGGAGGAUCCAUUAUUGGAGUGAGCAUUAGCAGCUUGGUCUGGGGCACAUCAAGCUUGGAAGGCAUGUUAGUCAUCCAAGUGGAGAUGUUGAGUAGACAGUUGGACAUGGGAGUCUAGAGUUUCAGGAGAUUGGUCUGGGCUACAGAAGUGGAUUUUUGAAUCAACAGCCAUGAGACUUGAUAAGAUUACCAAGGGAGUGUAGAGAGAUAAGGCCUUGAGUGUUCCAAUAUUUAGAGUUUGGAAAGAUGAGGAAUAAUCAGCAAAGGAGACUGCAAAAGAGGGCCAACAAAAUGGUAGAAAAUGCGGAAAGCCUGGUCACCUGGGAGUUAAGUAAUGAAAGUGUUUCAAGGAGAAAGUAAUCAGCUGUAUCUAAUGCUAUACAUGUGCUAAGCAAGAUAAGAACAUUGGAUCUAGCAGCAUAGAGGUCUCUGGUGAUCUGAAAAAAGGCAACUUUCAUGAAGUUGUAGAAGAGAAAGUUCAGUUAUAAUGGAUCCUGAAGAGAGUGACAGAAGAGCGAUUUAUGACUCAAGGAAAGAAAAAACAAAUGGGCUGGUAGUUAAAGGGAAAUUGAGUCAAGAAAAGGUUCAAUAUUUUUUAAUGGUAGAAUUGACCGUAUGUGUAUGUGCUUCUAGAAGUGAUUCAGGAGAGAGGGUGGAAUGGAUGGUGUGGGACGGAGGGAAGAAUUGGUGGAAUGAUGUUGGCAAAAAGGAAUAGGCUUUUGUGCAUAAGUUGAGGGAUUGGCCUUGCCUAGAAACAUGGACAAUUCGUCUAUAGUAAGAAGAGAAAAGGUAGAUCUAUGACCACAGACAUAGUCAGAUAAUCAUUUUAAAAUUCUUUAAUCAAUAGAUGUUUCUGAUGUAUGGCAGGCAGUAAGCUAAGCAGUUUACAUACCUGAUUUCAUUUAGUUAUUAUAACAAUCCCAGUCUAACAAUGAGGUAGAUUCUGAUAUUAUUCCCAUUUAAUUUGCAAGGAACUGAAAUUUAGAGAAGUUAAAAUGACUUACCAAAGUCAUAUAGCAAGCAAGUGACAGGACCAAGACUUAAGCCCUUGACUGCUGGACUCUAGAACUUAAGCAAGAAAGCAUCAGCUUAUGAUGUUCAUUGUCCUCCCACUCCCAGAUCCCCCAUUUCUUGCCCCUUUUGCUUGUUCCCCCUCCCCUCAUUCUCCAUAUCCCAAUAAUCACUAAGUCCUGUCCAUUUUACUUCCUCAGUGUUUCUUGCUUCUGGAUCCUCUUUUUUGUAUCCUUCCUAUUCCUACCAGCCUUUGACCUCAUCAUUCUGACCUCAUGUAGUCUAAAUUAAAUCGUCUAUGGAACCAAACAAUAAUCGAACAGAAUGUGAUCCUUGAUCAUGCUUGCUCCAUAACCCACUGCCUAAUGAGUUCAAGUUUCUUAAACUAUGCUAUAAGCCUGCCACUACCCGGUUACUGCGUAUUUUUCGAAUUUCACAUCUCACUGAUUUCUGUCUUGUACUUUUUUUCUCAGCAGAGCUGAGCGCUUGCAGUCCCACUGCAUGAACUAUCAUGUUUCCACGCUGUGUUUGUGCUUUAUGAUUUUUCCUUGUCUCUUUUCCUGGAUUUUUUUUCUACUCCUCUUUUAAACCUCAGCUCCUGUUGCUUUCUCCAGGAAGGCAUUUCUUUUUUUUUUUGAGACAGAGUUUCACUUCUUGUUGCCCAGGCUGGAGUGCAAUGGUGCUAUCUCGGCUCACUGCAACCUCUGCCUCCCAGGUUCAAGCGAUUCUCCUGUCUCAGCCUCCCAAGUAGCUGGGAUUACGGGCAUGCACCACCACACCUGGCUAAUUUUAUAUUUUUAGUAGAGACAGGAUUUCUCCAUGUUGGUCAGGCUGAUCUUGAACUCCCGACCUCAGGUGAUCCACCCGCCUCGGCCUCCCAAAGUGCUGGGAUUACAGGCGUGAGCCACAGCACCCGGCCAGGAGGCCAUUUCUGAUGCCUCUAACUUGGGUUCAUAUAGUUUGCAGCCACAACGCCAUCUUUUACUUGCCACAUGGCUUUUAUAAUGAUUUGCUAACAUGUUUGCUUCCACUAGGCCAUGACUUCCUUGAGGGUAGGGAUCAUGUUCCAUUUGUAUUUGUAGUCCUACCAUAUUACUUAAUGUUUGGUUAUAAUAGUUUUUUGAAUGAGUGAAUAGCAGGGGUAUACAAUUUAUCCAAGAAAAGAAGCAGCAGCAUAUUUUCCAUUUAAGUGUGCAAAAAGUGAGUGAAAGGCUAUGGUUUCAGAAAUGUUUUUAAGUGUAGGUAAAUGUAUUAGUCUGUUAUCACAUUGCUAUAAAGAAAUACCAGAGGCUGAGUAAUUUAUAAAGAAAAGCUGUUUAAUUGGCUUAUGGUUCUGCGGGCUGUACAGCAAGUGUGGCGGCAUCUGUUUCUGGAGAGGCCUCAGGAAGCUCCCAGUCAUAGUGGAAGGCAAAGGAGAAGUGAGGUGUCUUACAUGGCAGGAGCAGGAGCAAGAGGGAGAAGGGGAGGUGCUCCAUGCCUUUGAACAAUCAGAUCUUGGCCGGGCGCAGUGGCUCACACCUGUAAUCCCAGCACUUUGGGAGGCCGAGGCGGGAAGAUCCCCUGAGGUCAGGAGUUCGAAACCAGCCUGGCCAACAUGGUGAAACCCUGUCUCUACUAAAAAUACAAAAAUUAGCCGGGCAUGGUGGUGUGUGCCUGUAAUCCCAGGUAUUUGGGAGGCUGAAGCAGGAGAAUCACUUGAACCUGGGAGGCAGAGGUUGCAGUGAACCGAGAUCAUACCACUGCACUCCAGCCUGGGCGACAGAGUGAGGCUCUGCUUCAAAGAAAACAAAACAAAACAAAAUUAAAAACCCAGAUCUCGCAAGAACUCAUUCACUAUCCUGAGGACAGUAUCAAGUAGAUGGCAGUAAACCAUUCAUGAAAAACACCUCCAUGAUCCAAUCACCUCCCACCAGGCCCACAUCCAACAUUGGGAAUUAUACUUUGGCAUGAGAUUUGGGUGGGGACACAGAUCCAAACCACAUCAGUAAGAGAAUGCAAGGGAGAACUUAAUAUAGUUCAUUAUUUGACAGACACUAAGCACCUUCCCUGUACUGAGCAGUAUUAUAAGAGCUUCGGAUAGAUGAAGCUUUUGUCCUACUGUAGGGAAGUAGAUAAUAGGCAAAUAAAUCAAAAAAGAAAAAAAGAAAAUUUCAUGAAAUGAUAAAAGCUUUGGUGAAAACAAAACAAAAACUUUGUGGUGGUGUUGGGGGGCAUGAGUAGCUGCCUUCAGUUAAGUAGCAGAAAAGGCCUGAGAAGGUAACAUCUAACUAGAGACCUUGUGACAUAAGAAGCAGCGAACCACAUGAAGUUCUGGGGGAGCCGCCCAGACAGAGGGCGGUGGCUAGUGCACUGUUCCUAAGGAAGGAACAAGCUUGUAUGUUUAAGGAGCAAAAGGAAGGCCAGUGUGGCUAGAACAUGGAAUGACGGGGAAGAGUGGUUAGACGUGAGCUUUUAGAGCAUUUUGAGGAAGCUGGGGGCAAAUUGGAGGGCUUUGUAGAAUGGAGGAGGAGUUGGGAUUAUGGGGAGCCAUUCAAGGGUUUUAAGAAAGGAUAUCAUCUGAGUUAUAUUUUAAAAAGAUCACUGAUUGCUAUGUGAAGAAUGGAUUGUAAGAGGUGAAGAUUAAGUUGCUAGUUAGGAAGGUGCUGAGUAGGUUAAUGAGAGGCUCUGGCUUGAAUUAGGGUGAUAGUAGGGAAAAUGGAGAGAAGAGGUACAUUUGGGAGCUUUCAGAGAACGAACUAAGUCCCUUUAUUCCUCUACUCCUCACUGCCACUUACUAAUAGUAAGUAGUGGAGGACUACAGAAUGACUGCUAAGAUUUUGGCUUUACUAAACUGACAGGAUGAUCAUGUUAUUUAUGCGAUGCAGUCAAUUGUUGGAAAGAGUAGGAGACCAAGAGUUUUGUUUUGGACAGAUGCUAUUGGACAUCCAAAUACAUACGUCACAUUGGCAGGUUAGAGAUGCGAAUCUGAAGUUCAGUGGAACUAGAGAUAUAAAUUUGGUACUCAUGAGCACUUAGAUGGCUUUAAAACAUUUUAAAGGAGAAGGGAAACUGAUUUUGCCAAAUCCAAGGGUUUUAGGAACAGUGUGUUCAACCUGGUCAGAUACCACUGAGAGGUUGAGAAAGGUGAGACUUGAGAAGUAAUCAUUGAGUUUGCCAACCUGGAAGUCAUCUGUAAACUUGACAGUCACACAGAUUCUGUGAAGAGGAGGGGACUGAAGCCCAUGUAGAGUGAUUGAAGAGAGAAUCUAGUUACAGAGGCAGAGUUGCAACCCUAGGUUAUUCUUUCCAAAAGUUUUGCUCUUGUCUUCUUAGUGAAGUGCACGAAGCCUUUGGACAUCUCUGCAAAUGGGUAGCAGUAGAACAUGAAUUAAUAAGCUUUUGCCACAAGGUGUCACUAAUUCUUCAUUAGCUUCUAGUAAGCGAAAUAAUUGCAGCCCAGGUAUACCUUGUAUUAGGGAAAUAUUAUUUUUAAAAAUCAUAUUUACAAAGUAGGCCAACUUGGCCCGGCGCGGUGACUUAUGCCUGUAAUCCUAGCACUUUGGGAGGCUGAGGCAGGCAGAUCACCUGAGGUCAGGAGUUCAAGACCAGCCUGGCCAACAUGGUGAAACACCAUCUCUACAAAAGUACAAAAAUUAGACAGACAUGGUGGCAGGCACCUGUAAUCCCAGCUAUUCGGGAGGCUGAGGCGGUAGAAUUCCUUGAACCCAGGAGGCAGAGGUUGCAGUGAGCUAAGAUUGCGCCAUUGCACUCCAGCCUGGGUGACAGACAGAAAGAGACCCAGUCUCAAAACAAAAACAAAAACAAAAGCGAAACAAAGUAGCUAACUAGAAGGCAGUUACUUACAUGGUGGAGAGGUUUCCUUUCAAAAGACAGUCUCUAGUAUGUUUAACAAAUGUGCAUGGCCGUCAAGUGGUGCGUGGAGCACUGGGCUAGCAAUCAGAAGACCAGAGUUCUGGGUGUAGAGUAUUGGAUUUGGAGUCAGAAGCUUCGAGUUCAUCUCCUGUUUUGUUCUCACUAGCUAUGUGACCUCAUGCAAAAUUUAAAUUAUUCUUUGUCUUAUUUUGUUGUUGUUAUUUUAAAACGAUAGAUAGUAAAUGCUGUUCUGGCCAUCUCAAGCAAUUAUUUUUGCAUACCAAAAGAGAUAAUGUGUGUAACAAUUUAGAAAAUUAUGAAGUGCUAUGUAAAUAUAAGAUUUAAAAAAUUUUAUAAAAAUUAUUUAUACCGAACUUUACAGCAAUAUAGGUAUUAUGUAAAGCAGUUGUAUUAGUGAGAACCCCCGGUUGCAUAAGGGAGAAAUCCAAUUUGAAUUUGCUUGGCAGAAGGGCAUGUUUUGAAGUUUAUGGGGUGGUUCCUGUGCCUUCAGGGAUGGCAGCAUUGUGGGUGGGCUUUAGGCAUUGCUGGAAUCAGAGAUUGGAAUGACGGCAGCAUGUGUACCCUUCAUUCCCCUUUGCUUCUGUCUGGUGCCUUUAUUCUCUUUGGCCCAAACUUACCUCCCCUACCUUGUGGGGGAACAUUUUGAUAUUGUGAUUGUAGGGCACCUGCAUGACAACAUCCUAUAGCUUGAGAAGGUGAGAAGCUGGGGCUGGAGAAGUAGACGUAGAAUUACCUUGAUUUUGAUGAAGAGAAUAAGAAUUUUGAAUUUAUGAGUGCCAUUGUCAGUUAAUGCUGACCUUCCAGUUUUGAAAAAUAAAACUCACAUGCUCUGAAACAGUUUAAUAUCCUUGAGUCUGCAUGUCUUUGCCUGCCUGCCCGUCCGCCCGCCCGCCUGCCUGCCUGCCUGCCUGCCUGCCUUCCUUCCUUCCUUCCUUCCUUCCUUCCUUCCUUCCUUCCCUCCUUCCUUCCUUCCUUCCUUCCCUCCUUCCUUCCUUCCUUCCCUCCCUCUCGCUCUCUCUUUCUUUCUUUUCUUUCUUUCUUUUCUCUCUCUUUCUUUUUCCCUUCCCUUCCCUUCUUCUUCCCUUCCCUUCCUGACAGGGUCUCACUCUGUCACCCAGGCUGGAGUGUAGUGAUGCAAAAUCAUGACUCACUGCAGUCUUAACCUCCUGGGAUCAAGCCAUCCACUGGCCUCAGCCUCCAGAAUAGCUGAUACUACAGGUAGUUGCCACUAUGCCCAGCUAAUUUUUCUAUUUUAAUUUUUUUUCCAGUUUUAAAUAGUUUAAAAAUUAGCCAGGCAUGGUGGCGGGUGCCUGUAGUCCUAGCUACUCAGGAGGCUGAGGCAGGAGAAUGGCGUGCACCCGGGAGGCAGAGCUUGCAGUGAGCUCAGAUCUCGCCAUUGCACUCCAGCCUGGGCGACAGAGCGAGACUCUGUCUCAAAAAAAAAAAAAAAAAAAAAGUUUAUUCAAGAAAAAGCUGGGAGUGGCCCAUUCAGGAGGAAAAGACUCCAGAGAAACAGGGUCAGUGCUCCAAACGUCAAAGGUAAGUUCUUAAUUAUAGAGGCAGAAAACAAAGACAUUAACAGGAUUACAAAAUUUUUUAUACAAGGCUGGUUUAAGAUGAAACUCUAAUAUAUAGGACAUAAAUAAGACUUCUAAAGUGUGUUCUAAGAACACCUGCCAAAAUUAUCAAAAUUCUGUCAUUGUUCCUGGGAUUCAUUUAAAAUGACAGGGCUGGGGACUCCUGGUUUAAAGUGGCAUUGACUGAAGUUGGAAUUUCUUCCAAUUCUAACUAAAUACCCAUGGCAGUAGGACAGGGCAUGUCCCAUUUCUGUCUAGAGGAGCACAGUAGCUGGAAAUGGGAGGGAGCUGGGAGCUGGACAUUGCAGUCUGUUUUUUAGCUUGAAGAGGAGAUUGACAGGCACCCAGGUAGAUAGAAAGUGAGGCCGAGGACAAUAUGAUGUGUGUCUGUUGGUGGGCACCAGGUCUGGAUCUGUUCUAUUCAUUGGAGGAGGAGGUGAGGAGAAACAUAAAAUCUGCGAAAAAAUGCUGUCAAGUAGGAGGAAGGGAACACACAUUUGAAUAAUCAGAGGAAGACAGAGCUCUAAAAAUGAAACUCAUUGGUAUCCCUAAAGAUGCUGUUUGGUACCACCUUUGAAUAAAGCCAUGCAGAGAAUUCUUAAGAUGCAAAAAGACGGAUGUGAUUGAAAAAGACUGAUAUUAUAGGCAAAAAUAUUUUUUAAUGCUUACCACAUGCCAGCAAUGGCGCUCGGGGCUGAGGAUAUAAUGAUGAAUAAAAUUGCCAUGAUUCUUGUCCUCUCAGAAUCUAGUGAGGUACCAGACAAGGGAACUGGCAUUUCCAAUUCAGUGUGAAAUGUGUGAUAAUAGGGUUGGCAGGGCACAAUAGAAGCACGAGGACUCCGAGCCAUCCUUGGCGGUCGUGGCAAGCUUCCUACAUGAAAGCUGGAGCUCAGAGCAUAUGAAGAUGUAGGAGUUUGCCAAAUGAAAUGACAUGGUGGUGGAGAGUGUUUAUGACCAAAGAAUGCCGUGUGUGAAGCCCUAGAGGUGAGAAAAAACCCAAGAUGUUGUCCAGGCCCAGUGGCUCAUGCCUGUAAUCCCAGCACUUUGGGAGGCCAAGGCAGGAGAAUUGCUUGAGCCCAGAAGUUUGAGACCAGACUGGGCAACAUGGUGAAACCCCAUCUUUACAAAAAAAUACAAAAAUUUGCUGAGUGUGGUGACACGCAGCUGUAGUCCCAGCUGCUUGGGAGGCUGAGGCCAGAGGAUCGAUUGAACCUGGGAGGUAGAGGCUGCAGUGUGCUGUGAUUAUGUCGCUGCACUCCAGCCUGGGUAACAGAGGGAGACCCUGCCUCCAAAAGCAAAUACAAAAACAAAACCCUAGAAUGUUGAGGAAUUGAGAGAAGUUCAAUGUGUCUGAAUCAGAGUAUGAGGCAGGGAAUAUCAAGAGAUAAGUGAUUAAAAAGCAAUUAAAGAUGAAUAAUAGCAUUCACAUCCACAUAGAGAGAAUGCUGUUGAAUGUCAAAUGAGGGAUGUGAAGAACCACCUAACGUAUGUUGCCAGAAUGCAGAGAAAAGGAUUAAAAAUAUUGGCCGAGUGUGGGAGAUGAGAGCUAUCUAGGGGAGGGAAGAAUGAGUCAACGCAAGAAUCUUAGGUAUUCCUAUGGGAAAAUAGAAGCAACAACCAAAGACCUAAUUAAACAAGUGUUUCUUGUGCUGAAAAGAACUUGAAGAUGAAGAUCAAAAGAAUCCACCACAGGGCUGGGCGCAGGGGCUCAUGCCUGUAAUCCUAACACUUUGGGAGGCUGAGGCAGGCAGAUUGCUUGAGGUCAGGAGUUUGAGACCAGCCUGGCCAACGUGGAGAAACCCUGUCUCUACUAAAAAUACAAAAAUUAGCUAGGUGUGGUGGCGUGUGCCUGUAAUCCCAGCUGCAUGAGAGGCUGAGGCAGGAGAGAAUUGCUCGAACCCAGGAGGUGGAGGUUGCAGUGAGCCGAGAUUGCACCACUGCACUCCAGCCUGGGUAACAGAGCGAGGCUCCAUCUCAAAAAAAAAAAAAAAAAAAAAAAAAGAAUCCACUGCAUUCCAAGAAAAAAGAAUGACAACAUUUUCACAUUACAAAGAUAUAAGAAAUAGACCAUAUGAGCAUUCAGAUAGAAAAAAGUAAGUUUCCUAUGCAGGAACAAAAAUCUCUCUGGCCAUAGGCUUUUUUUUAAAAUUUUUUAAUUUUUUUAUUUUUUGCAACACCCAAGAUCAGAAGACAAUGAAACCACACGUAGUAGAGUUUUCAGGGGGAAAUGUUGGGAACAACCUCAUGCCCAACUAAGUCUGUUGUCUUUCAAGGCAACAGCAUAUACUUUCAGAUUUGCAAGGCCUGGUACCAUAGACCUUCCCGUCCUUUCAUUAACACAUCUCAAAGAUCUGCUACUCAAAAGAGUGGUCAAAAUGAAGAUCUCAGUAAUGAGGAGAUCAUGAUCCACUUUAAGACCAGCAUUGUUCAUGCUGGACCCACACACAGGUAUUUGAUUGGCCUCCAUGUGGUCUGGUCAGUUCUGUGGCCACGGGCUGUGGUUUGGCCUGCAAGAACCUCCUUGAGCUGCUCCUCUUAAGGUCUCCGUCAUUUCCCGGAAAGUGGAUUUCUUGCAUCACAUGCUUUACCUCAUGUUUCAGAAGAAAUGUCAUGAUUGAUGACCACAUGAAACUGAUUUGGCUCCAGGGUCUGUAAUAUUGGCCAAACUAUUUACAUGGUUGAGAGCCAAUGCCGAGAAGAACCAAACACUUCCUCUUCCUCAAAACCAGAGCUGUGUAGUGCAUCGUAUUCAUCAUUAGCAUCACCAAGAGCUUCACAUGUUUUCUAUGUCUUUUUUUUUUUUUUUUUUUGAGACAGUCUGGCUUUGUUGCCCUGGGUCUGCUCUUGAAAUCCUGGACUCAAGUAAUCCUUCCACCUUAGUCUCCCAAAGUGCUGGGAUUACAGGCGUGAGCCACUGUGCCCAGCUGUUGUCUGCAUCUUUAAGACUUCAAUGGUUACCUGAUUUCUCUGACUUUUAACUAGGAAGGAAUAGUAAAAGGUCUAAGCAGCCACGUUGUCAGAAAGCUUCAGUUCAUACUGUCCUCCACCUGGGACUUGUGAAUGUCCCUGUGUUACCUAUGGCUGGACUCAGUAUAUUCAUUAUGUUCAUAUAAUGCAAAUAUUUAGAAGUGAGGCUGACCUGUUUUUUAUAUUUUUUAAAGUAAAUCUCAGAAUCAGAGAAAUUAUCAUUUCCUUUUGAUCUAAGAAGUUAGUGACUCACUUUAGUAAGAGAAAUAUUUUUAAAGGCACAGAAAAAAGACUAAGAAUUAUAAUAAUAUAAGAAAAUAUUUCUGACUAGAAAUAUUACAGUAUAACUAUUGCUGGGUAAUUAGCCCUCCGCCCACCUCUGAAAUUACUGACUUGAACAAUGUAUUUGGAACCUUCAGAAACAAAGCCAAUAGUGUAUAAAUACAUACAUUAUAAGACCUUUAUUAUAGGGAAUUUAUUAUGAGGAAUUGGCUCAUGGAUUGUGGAAGAUGAGAAGUCCCAUAGUCUGCCAUCUGCAAGCCGGAGACCCGGGAAAGCUGGUGGUACAGUUCCAGGCUGAGUCGAAUGGCCUGAGAACCAGGGGCACUUGAUGGUGUAAGCCCCAAUUUGAGGGCAGGAGAAGACUGAUGUCCCAGCUCAAGUAGUCAGGCAGAGGGAGCAAGUUCUACCUUUCCAGGCCUUUUGUUCUGGCCUGCAAUGGACUGGGGAAGGAACACUGGGGAAAGCAAUCUGCUUUACUCAGUCUAUGAUUCCAGUGUUAAUCUCAUCCAAACACCUUUACAGACAUACCCAGAAUAAGGUUUAUCUAUUCAGGCAUCUUGUGGUCUAGACAUAAAAUUAACCAUCACAAACAACAUGCAUUUAUUGUGCUCAAGGGUUCUGUGGAUCUGGAAUUUCAACAGGGCACAGGAGGGAGGGUUUGUCUUUAUUCCCUGGUGUCUGAGACCUCAGCUCAGUAAGACUCAAGCUGGCAAUGACUUGGUAGCUGGGGGCUGGAAGCAUCUGGAAGCUCUUUCAUUGCCCUGCCUGGUGCCUGGGUUGUCAUGACUUGAAUACUAGGAUUACUGAGCGGAGCAGUCACCAGCUUGCCCAGAUUCAGAGAAAGGGGGACACAGACCCCAACCUCAAUCAGCAGAGUAGCAAAAGAAUUUCUGGCCAUACUUUCCAAAACGACCUGGUAAUAACUUGUUAACAUCGGUUUUCUUUGGCUCAUAGGAUUUGGGAUGGUGUUCUGUGUUGAACUGUGUCCCGCCACCCCCUUCCAAAUUCAUAUGUUGAAGUUCUAACCCCCACUACCUCAGAAUGUGACUAUUUGGAAAUCGUGUGUUAAUUACUUAAGUUAGAAUGAGGUCAUACUGGAGUGGGGUGGGCCUCAAAUCUAAUAAAACCAGUGUCCUUAUAAGAAGGGGAAAUUUGGAUACAGAUUUGCACACUGGGAGGACACCAUGUGAAGAUGAAGGGAGAGGUCAGUGUAAUGUUCUGUCAACCAAGGGAUGCCAGAGAUUGCCAGUAAAACACCAGAAGCUAGCUGGGAGGUGUGGAACAGACCCUUCCCUCACAGCCCUCAGAAGGAACCAACCAGCCCUGCCAACACCUUGAUCUUGCACUUCUGGCCUUCAGAACUGUGAGACAAAAAAUGUCUGUUGUUAAACCAUGCAGUCUGUGGCACUUUGUUAUGACAGCCCUCGCCAACAAAUACAGAUGGUUUUAAGGUUUUUUAUACUUUUCAUAUUUUUGACAGGGAACAUAUAUUUCUUUAAUAAUGAGAAAAAUAGAUUUGAUUUAAUUUAAUGUUUUCAAUUUCUUUGUUCCGUAAAAACAUGAAAAUAUGCCAAAAUCUUUCCAUGGUUGUGUCUAGGUAAUGUGACUACAGGUAAUUAAAAAAAUCCCAUCUACUGAAAACGUUUUCUCUAAUGAGUAUGUGUCACCCUUAUUAUGGUGAGGAAAAGAAGGCUGGAAAAGCCACCAUGGGAAGUAGAAAGAGCACCUGCCCUGGGUCCCACUCCGCUGGGGAGUAGCUCUGAGUCCGGCUCCCAGUGUGUAACAGGGGGAGUCUUCCUCAGUGUUGGGAGAGGCAAAUGCAUGCAUCUAUGCAGACACACACAGAAUCCCGGAAUCCAGUAUCUGGCGCUGGGGCCUGGUGAGCUGCACUUUGCCUCCAUUCUCCACAGUGUGGUUUACAGCCUGUGGCUGUGAUUACGAGUGGUGGUGGAAGAUGUCAGUACUUUAAGAUAUACAUAUAUAUAUUUUAAAAUAUCUAUAUAUGGAUAUAUAUAUUAUAUCUAUAAUAUAUAGAUUAUAUAUCACCUAUAUAUAGAUAAUAUAUAUAUAGAGUACUAUAUAUAUAUAAUCUAUCUAUCCAUCUAUAUGAGAGAGAGAGAGAGAGACAGAGAGAGAGACAGAGACAGAGUCUUGCUCUGUCACCCAGGCUGGAGUGCGGUGGUGUGAUCAUAGUUAAUUGCAGCUUUAAACUCCCUGGGCUCAUGCAAUCCUCCCACCUCAGCCUCCUGAGUAUCUGGGGCCACAGGAGCAUACCACCAUGCCUGGCUAAUUUAUUUAUUUAUUUAUUUUGUAGAGAAAGCAUCUCCCUUAUGUUGCCCAGGCUGGCCUCAAACUUCUGGGCUCAAGUAAUCCUCCUACUUUGGCCUCCUGAAGUGCUAGGGUUACAGGCAUGAGCCACCAUACCUGGCCACAAAAAAUAUUUCAACCACAAUCAUGUCUCUUUUCAUGCUGACUUACCUCGUUGAAUGGCCCUGGAGUGGUCAUGGGGAUUUUAGGACUAGGCUAAGGGAAAGCUGACUUAUGGAUAUAUUUAGUUUGAUUUCAGUGAAUGUCUUAAUCCAUUUCAGCUGCUAUAGCAAAAUCCCAUAAACUGGAUGGCUUAUAACAACAGAAAUUUAUUUCUCACAGUUCUGGAGGCUGGGAAGUCCAAGAUCAUAGCACCAGCAGAUUUGGUGUCUGAUGAGGGCCCCUUUCCUGGUUACAAAUGGCACUUUCUCUCUUAAUGUCCUCAUGUGGUGGAAGAGGUGAGGGGUCUUUCUCAGGCCUCUUCCAUAGGGCACUAAUCCCACUCAUGAGGGCCCCAGCCUCAUGACCUCAUCACCCCCCCAAAUGCACCACCCCUUAGUAGCAUCACCUUAGGGGUUAGGAUUUCAACCUAGGAAUCUUGAGGGAACCCAAACAUUCAGGCCAUAGCAAUGGGAUUUACUUAUGUGCUUUGCAAUCACUUCCUUAAGUAGGUAAGUUAUUCAUAACUAUCCUGGGGUGGGAGGGGCUUUCAAAGAUAGUCCUACUGACCACUGUGCCUACUCACCAGGCUUGUGACGUGUGCUACGAGAAGAACACUUUUUGCAGAGCCUAACAUUGGCAGUAUGUAGGUAGUAGAGGAACAUUUGAAAUAUAUAGAACCAGCAGUCUGCAGGUAUUUUUCCAGAUUUUAUAGCUCCUAUAUGAAAAACACUUGGCAGAGAUUUCUCCAAAUUUGUCAAUAAUUCUAACAAUUUACAUGACAUUAUCAAUGAGUUGAGAAGCUGAAAUAAAUUAUUCUAAACUAUUAAUGUUGGAAAGAACUCCAAAUUUUAGCCAAAUUAAAGGAAAAACAACUUUUAUUCUCACUAGAGAAAAUAAUUUUAAAUCUUUAUUUUUUAGGAAAAAAGUGUUUUAAAAGAGCAUGCAACUAAAAAAGAUAGGAAAGGGAGCACUACCGAAAUGUCCCAGGCAGUUAGUAAAAAUGUUAUUUCAUAUUUUGGUGAAAAAUUUUGUUUGCUGUAUUUGUCAGCGUUAUUAAAUUUAUGCUUUAUGUUUUUUUGUUCUAGAUACAUAUUUGUGUUUAUGAUUAAAUUUGCAUUUGUAAGUUUGCCUUCUUUUUCUUGUAGAGAGCCUCCAAAAUUAUAAAAACACAGAGCCCCUCAAAAUCUGAGUCUGACCUGAAGGAGCCCAGCUUUCAAAUCGAUCCUUGUUUUCCCACAAAGUUGUUAUUUGAGUCUGAUGCUACUAUUUAGAAUUGUAGGUUCUCUGUUUUUCCAUUUCCUACAGAAGAACUCAGAUUGAGAAAAGCUAUUUACCAAUCAUUUCCUUUUAACCUAAAAGGUUUCAGUGACUCUCUCUAGCAAGAGUUUGAGGGUGCAUGCUAUUUACCUAGUCAGAGCAAAACCAUGAUUCAGAGUGUGAGAAAAUGGCUCUCAUUUUCCUAGGAAGUUUUCAAUAUAAAAACAUGCUGUGCUUUUGAAUGAAAAGUAAAAUUUAAAGCCAAUGGAUGGAAAUUUCUUGUAAGAAGAUGUAAAAAACCCCUAGCUGUUUCUAUUCUUGAAAAUAAGAGUUGUUUUUUCACAGGGUCUAAGACUUGAAUACAUUUUUUCGAAAUGAAUUUGGCCUGUUGUAUUAAGGCCUGUGAUAAUACGAUUUCAUUCCUUGGUGCAGCUCCUUAAGUACCUUCCUUCUGUAGCCACUGUGCUUUGGUGUUUUAAAGUUAAAAAACUCAGGAAAAAAUAGUCUUGGGUCAUAAAAUUACAUUUGCAUAUAUGGGGUUUUAAUUUGAAGCCAGGGGUUUCUUUGCCUUUAUCUCUGAUCAAAGAUAAGCUUCACUUAUUUUGCUGAACUUAUUCUGUGGUUUAAAAAAUAUUUCCUGUUUUAAAAUAUAACAGAUCUGUUACAGAAAGAACAUAAACUAAGUAUCCAGCCUAGAAUAUUUGUCCCCUUUCCCCUAUGCUGGGAUGGAGAAAAAGAAAAGAGCAUGUCUUCAGAAUACAGUAGCCUUAUGUUAAAAUGUCAGCUCCAUCUUUCAUUAGCUGUGUGACCUUGGGCAAGUUACUUAGUCUUCUCAUCUAUUAAAUCAUGCGUAUUAAUAUUCAUCUUGUGAAGUUGUGAAAAUUACAUGAUAAAUUAAAAACAAGAAAACAAUCAAAAAACCUUUUCCCAUCUAGUUAUAGUAAGUACCUGGCACAAAAAGGAACUAAGCAAACACUUAAAAUAUGAGAAAGAUAAGGCCUUAAGCCUGCUCCUGAGGAGUGUGGAAUCUGGAAUAUGGCAGAAAAGAAGGAUCAAAGGGGAAGGGUUAAAUUAUGGAGCAUUUGAAGUUGGUGCAUUUCGAAGGAAGUGGUGGAAAGAAGUUGAGUGAUUCUAGUUUGGAGAAAGUUUUAUAUAAAGCUGAGGAGUAAGUGAUAAAUUACAUGUAGGGGACCACUGUUAUAUUUUCUUGGUUGAAUUAAAGAGUAGAAGUUCAUUUAUUUCUUUAUUCUUUUAUUAAUUCAACAAACAUGUAGUGAAAUGUUUAACAUGUGCCAGGAAGUUUUUUUAGUUCUGGAGAAUACAAAGAGAAAGGAGACCCAUUUCUCACCCUUAAGGAAGUUAUAGUCUACUGGGAGGAGAGAAACAGGAAAAAAUGGUAGAUAUUAAAAUGUGGGGUACAAAAGAGAAAGGGAGGGAGGUGGGGUCUGUGAGUUCUUUAGGUGUCAGAGGUAAUUCUUGAGCUGAGGUGUCUGCAUGGCUGCGAAGGUCCGGUGGCAGGGUGUGUGGACUGUGUAGACAUUGUAGGUAGGGAACUGGAAUGAACGAAGUCCCAGGUGUACAUCAGCUUUGCAUGUGUGUGGGAGCUGCUCCAGAGUAACAGCAUGUGGGGUCAGUGAUGGAGGGCUGGCUUGCAUGCAUCAGCACAAGCCCGUGAGGGGCCACGUCAGGGAAUAAUGACAGUGGCUGUGGCAGUGACUCCAAGAACAAAUAGAUGUAACCUAGGGCAGGGGUCCCUGAUGCCUGGGCCACGAACCGGGUACUGGGUACUACUGCUCUAGGGGAAGGUCUGAAAGACCAGGUGAAAGGGUGGGAUUUGAAAAUUUUGGGAAACAUGAUGAAGGUGGGGUUUGGAAUGUGAGGCUUCCAACUGUAUAUACUGCUCAAAUUGCAUGAGGAGGUGGCGCAUGCCUGUAAUCCUAGCACUUUGGGCCCAGGAGUUCAAGACCAGCCUAGGCAACAUGGCGAAACCCUGUCUGUAUAAAAAAUACAAUAAAAGUAGCCGGGCCUGGUAGUGGACUCCUGUAGUCCCAGCUACUCAGCAGGCUGAGAUUGGAGAAUUACCUGAGCCCAGGAGGUUGAGGCUGCAGUAGGUGCCAGAUUGAGACUGUUUAAAAAAAAUUGCGUGGGGAAGACAGCUGAGACAAGGAUAUUAAAUAAGAAGACAUUUUAUAAGCCUGGCCAUUUGAAGAUAUAGGCUUAGACCAGUAGAUUGUAAUUUAAAUUUUACUUUUUUAUUUUCCAACUCUUUAAUCUCUAGGAAUAACUGGAAAUUUUAAGAAGUUACUAUCUCUGCUAUGGGGAUGGAUAGUCAGACAGCAAUGUUCACAAAUUACUCUUGAAACUUGAUGCAAACAACCUGUUUAAAAACUGAUGUAACGAGAGGAAUUUCAUGGAUGCAAAUGAACACCUGUGAAAAUUCUUCGGCAAGAACUGUUUCAUUUAGCAACACCAGGUUAGCAGUUUGAGAGAGGAUCUUUUUUGGGUCUACAUGCCCAAAUUUACAGACUGUUUUGCUACUUGAAUCUGCCAUAAUGUUUGUUGAAUAAAUAAUCUCUAUCUUUGAGGGAGCUGUUGAAUUUUUUUACAAUCAAAAUCCUGAAAGGAAUACAUUUAGAUUGUAUGCAUCUCAAUGUGCUCCGAGGCCUGUGGAUGUUUGCUGUUCUUUUUAAAGAAUUUAGGCAUCUUAACUCUUGGCAUAUAAAAUUAUUCUUAGGAACGAUAUGGAUAUAAUUCAAGUGUAAUACCACCUAUACAUUUGCCAGAAAUCACAGAUAUAUAUGUGUGUGUGUGUGUGUGUGUGUGUGUGUAUAUAUAUAUAUAUAUAUAUAUAUAUAUAUAUACUUUUUCUCAUUUCUAGUAACAAUGAAAAUCCUGUAACUUUUUGCUACAGAUGAAAAUAACUGGGAUCAUGAAUGAAAUGACCAGAUGGUUGCCCCAUCACCUAACAGUGAGGUGCCCCCGCUUGAAAUGUUGCCCCCGCUUGAAAUGUUUCUGGUUUCUUUUUUUUUUUUUUUUUCGAGACAGAGUCUCGCUUUGUCACCCAGGCUAGAGUGCAGUGGCGCGAUCUCGGCUCACUGCAAGCUCCACCUCCUGGGUUCACGCCAUUUUCCUGGCUCAGCCUCCCUAGUAGCUGGGACUAUAGGCGCCCGCCACCACGCCUGGCUAAUUUUUUUGUAUUUUUAGUAGAGACGGGGUUUCACCGUGUUAGCCAGGAUAGUCUCGAUCUCCUGACCUCGUGAUCCACCUGCCUUGGCCUCCCAAAGUGCUGGGAUUAAAGGCGUGAGCCACCGCGCCUGGCCAACAUGUUUCUGGUUUCUUAAGACUUUAGUAUAUUGUUCUUAACAUUUAUUUGGGAUGUAUUUGCAUUUUUGGAAGCUGACCAGUUUCUACACAUAUCUAAAUGCCUCCUUACAUUUGACAGUACAUUUAACAUGCUAAAGUACUUUUCUUAGAUAUGAUCAAUUUUAUCCUUGAAAUAAGCCUAUUGGGAGCCAUGGACACCAGCUCAUUGUGGUGAGGACGCUGAACUCAAUGGUGCAGAUACAGUGGUGAAGGAGACACACACCCUGUGGUAUGGUGGAGUAGACUCCUAACAGACCAACCCUGCCACAAAUAUAGCAACUAUAAACUGGACAAACUACCAAAAGUAACUACUUAAGAGACCUGGGAAGUGAGCAAAUGCAGGCAGAGGGGAGUUGAAUCUUGGAGGAGAGUGUGAGUUUCCUGUUUUUCAGCCUUGUCCAAAAGAUGGGCCCUGGUCACAAAGUGUCUGGGGGUGGCUAAAACUCCCAUAGAAAGACUGCCAUGUUUCUGGUCUAGGGAACCAGGGGCUGGAGCCUGGGGCAAUCAUGGCCACGAGAGUGAGGGAGAAAUCCCAGAGAGGACAGAGCCAGAGAAGGGGGCACCCAAAUGCUGUAUCUGAACUCUGCCCAAGUCUCUAGCUGACCCGUGAACCACAUGCACACAAACCAGAUUCAAAGCCACUUGCAGCUAAGGUUUGGAGUACUGAAUUGAGAUUUGAAUGGCCACUCACCAUGAGAGACAUGGAGUUUACAGCCUUCAGUGUAACCAAGUCAAUUGCUUGUUAAAACAAAGUAUCAACAGCCUUGGAAUGAAUACAACAGAAUUUAGAGUCUUGACUUAUGAAACAUCCACCAUGUCCAAAACUACUCAAAAUAUGAAGGACCAGGAAAAUGUGAUGUAUUGGCAACAAAGAAGUUAAUAAAAAGAGGUCAAUUUCAGAUGACCGAAAUGUUGAAACUAUUAGUCAAGGAAUUUAAAGCAGCUAUUGUGCUCAAUAGAGUGAAAAAAAUGCUCCUAAUAAAUGAGAAGAUAGGAACUUUUAGGAAAGAAAUGGAAAAUAUAUAAAGAAAAUAUACAAAAAGGGGAAAUUUUAGAACUGACAAAUACAAUACAUGAAAAAAAAAUUGCUGGAUGGGCUCUAAUAGCAUAAUGGAGAUAGAGAGGAAAGAACCAGUGAAUUUGAAGAUAGAGCAAUAGAAAUUGUCCCAUCUAAAGGAGGAGGAGAGGAGGAGGGGGGCGGGGGAAGGGAGUGAGAAACAUAGAGAGCCUCAGGAAUGUGUGGCACAAUAUAAAAAAAACUGAUAUUAUGGAUAGUUAAAAUAUCAGGAAGAGAGGAGAAAAAGAAUGGGAUGGCAAAUAUUUGAAAAAAUAGUGGCUGAAAACAUCCUAAAUUUAAUAAGAUGUUUACAUUUUCUGAUUGGAUAAGCUUUGUGAAUCCCAAAUGGGAUAAAUACAAAGAAAAACAAACUAGACACAUCAUAGUCAAACUACUGAAAACAAACAAAAAACAAAGAGGAAUCUUAAAAGCGUAAAUAAAAAUGACACAUUUUAUAUAUAGGAGAAUAAUGAUUUCAAUGGUUGUGGACUUCUCAGCAGAAAUUAUAGAAGUCAGGGACAGUCGAAUGAAAUUGUUGAAGUGCUUAAAGAAAAAACUGUCAGCUUAGAAAUCUCUGUCUAGCAAAAAUACCCUUCAAGAAUGAAAGCAAAAUGAAGACAUCUUCAGAUAUCAGAAAACUAAGAGAAUUCAUCACCAGAAGACCUGCACUUCCAGAAGCUAAAGAAAGUUGUACAGACUGAAGGGAGAUGAUAUGAGAAAAGGAAUAAAAAGCAUAAAAAAUUAUAAAUAUUGGAGUAAACAUCAAAGACCAAUUUUCCUCUUAAUUUCUUUCACAUAUGCACAACUGUAUAAAGGACAUAAUAUUGACUUAAGGUUUAUAUCACAUGUAGAUAGAUUUUAUGGCAGCUAUGGCAUAAAAGAUGGUGGCAGUGUUGGUGGUGUGGCCGGGGAGGGUAAAUGGACCAGUAAAAUUGCCAGUAGACUGAGAAGUUAAGGGAUUAUAUUAUAGUCUCUAGAGGAGCUUCUAAGAAAUCAUGCAAAAGACUAAAAGACCAAUAGGUAAGUUAAAAUGAAAUUAUAAAAAUAUUCACUUAAUCCAAAAGAAUAUAGGAAAGGGAGAACAAGAGGGACUAACAGCAGAGGAGACAAACAUAAAGCAAAUAAUAAAAUAAUACAGCAUAACCAAUUAGUUUUAUCCCAGGAAUUCAAGGUUUGUUUAACAUUAGAAAAUCAAUAUAACUCACCAUAUUAACAGAAUAAAGGAGAAAAACCAUCUGAUCAUUUUCAUAUGUAGAUAAAAAAUAUGACAAAAUUUGAUAUCCAUUUAUAAGAAAAAUUCUCACCAAACUGACUAUGAAGGACUUCUUCAACUUCAUAAAAAGCAUCUAUGAAAAACCUACGGUGAGCAUUAUACUUAAUGGUGAAAUAUUAAAUGAUAUUCUACCAAACUCAGAAAAAAGGCAAAUGUGCUCAUUUUUUUUACCACUUCUACUCAAUAUUGAAUUGGAGCUUCUAGCCACUGCAAUAAAGAAUGAUAAAAUGAUAAAGAUUGGAAAGAAGGAAGCAAAAUCGUCCUUAUUUGCAGGCAAUACGAUUGUUUACAUAUGAUUGUUUUCUACAUCCUAAGGAUCUAAAAAAUAAUUAGAAGUAGUAUAUUAUUCCAUUCUCACACUGCUAUAAAGAACUACCUGAAACUGGGUCAUCUUUGAAGAAAAGAGUCUUAAUUGACCCACAGUUCCACAGGCUGUACAGGAGGCAUGGCUGGGGAGGCCUCAGGAAACUUACAAUCAUGGCAGAAGGUGACAGGGAUGCCAGCACGUCUUCACAUGGUGGCAGGUGAGAGACAGAACGAAGGCGGAGGUGCUACACACUUUUAAAAGAAGCAGGUCUCAUGAGAAUUCCAUCACAAGACAGCACUAGAAGGAUGGUGCUAAACCACUAGAAACCACCCUUAUGAUUCACCUUUCACCAGGCCCCACCUCCAACACUCAGUAUCACAAUUCAACAUGAGAUUUGGGUAAGUACACAGAACCAAACCAUAUCAUUUUGCACCUGGCCUUUACCAAAUGUCAUGUCCUUUUCACGUUUCAAAAAACAAUUAUGCCUUCCCAAGAAUCCUCCAAAUUCUUAACUCGUUCCAGAAUUAACUCAAAAGUCCCAGUCCAAAGUCUCAUCUGAGACAAGGCAAGUACUACUCCUCUGCCUAUGAGCCUGUAAAAUAAAGAAACAAGUUAGUUAGUUCCAAGAUACAGUGCAGGUACAGGCAUCGAGUAAAUGCUCCCAUUCCAAAAGGGAGAAAUUGGCCAAAACAAAGGGGCUAUAGGCCUCUUGCAAGCAAAACCCAGGAAGGCAGUCAUUUAAUCUCCAAGCUCCAAAAUACUCUCCUUUGACUCCAUGUCUCACAUCCAAGGCACACUGAUGCAAGGGGUGGGCUCCCAAGGCCUUGGGCAGCUCUGCCUCUGUGGCUUUGCAGGGUACAACCCCCAAAGCUACUUUCAUGGGCUGGGAUUGAGUGCCUGCAGCUUUUUCAGGCGAACAGUGCAUGCUGUCAGUGGAUCUAUCAUCCUGGGGUCUGGAAGAUGGUGGCUCUCUUCUCACAGCUCCAUUAGGCAGUGCCCCAGUGGGAACUUGGUGGGAGCUCCAACCCCACAUUUCACCUUCACACUGCCCUUGUAGAGGUUCUUCAUGAGGGAUCCAGUCCUGCAGCAGACUUCUGCCUGGACAUCCGGGUGUUUCCAUACAUCCUCUGAAAUCUAGGCAGAGGCUCCCAAGUCUCAACUCUUGCCCUUUGCAUACCCACAGGCCCAACACCAUAGGGAAGCCAUCAAGACUUGGGGCUUACACCCUCUGAAGCAAUGACCUGAGCUGUACUGUGGCCCCUUUUAGCCAUGGCUGAAACGGGAGCAGCUGGGAUGCAGGGCACCAUGUCCCAAGGCUGCACAGAGCAGUAAGGCCCUGGACCUGGCCCACGAAACCAUUUCUCCCUCCUAGGCCUCUGGGCCUGUAAUAGGAAGGGCUGCUAUGAAGGUCUCUGAAAUGUCUUAGAGGGAUUUUCCCCAUUGUCUUGGCUAUUAAUAUUUGGCUCCUUUUUACUUAUGUAAAUUUCUGCAGCUGGCUUGAAUUACUUCCCAGAAAAUAGGUUUUUCUUUUCUACUACAUGGCAGGUUGAAAAUUUUCCAAGCUUUUAUACUCUGCUUUCCUUUUAAAUAUAAGUUCCAAUAUCAAACCACCUCUUCGGAAAUGCAUAUGAGCAUAUGCUGUUAGAAGCAGCCAGGUCACUUCUUGAAUGCUUUGCUGCUUUGAAAUUUCUUCCACCAGAUACUCUAAAUAAUCUCUCUCAAGUUCAAAGUUUCACAGAUCCCUAGAGCAGGGGCACAAUGCCACCAGUCUCUUUGCUGAAGCAUAGCAAGAAUGACCUUUACUCCAGUUCCCAAUAAGUUCCUCAUCUCCCUCUAAGACCUCCUUGGCCUGGACUUCAUUGUCCAUAUCUCACUAUCAGUAUUUUGGUCAAAGCCAUUCAACAAGUCUCUAGGAAGUUCCAAACUUUCCCUUAUCUUCUUGUCUUCUUCUGAGCCUUCCAAACUGUUCCAACCUCUGCCCAUCCAAAGCUGCUUCCACAUUUUCAGGUAUCUUUUGUAGCAAUGCCCCACUUCUCUGAUACCAAUUUCCUAUAUUAGUCCAUUCUCACACUGCUAUAAAGAACUAUCUGAGACUGGGUAAUCUAUGAAGAAAAGAGGUUUAAUUGACUCACAAUUCUGCAGGCUGUACAGGAGGCAUGGCUGGGGAGGCCUCAGAAAACUUACAAUCAUGGCAGAAGGUGAAGGGGAAGCCAGCACAUCUUCAUAUGAUGGCAGGAACUUUAUAUGUUAUAGAAGUUAGCCCCAAGAAUGAAAUCGUGUCCUUUGCCAAAACAUGGAUGGAGCUAGAGGCCUUUAUCCUAAGGUGCUCUAUGCUUAGCCCAUCAUAGAUUGUGGCCCUUCAUUCCUGCAUUUGAUGAAUCCAGGGAACCCUCUCUCCAACACCCUUGGCCUCUCUGCAACUUUCUAACAUCAGGCAGAGUCAGAGGCACCAUCCCCAGGUGGGUGUGUUCUGAGGGGCCACUGGAUUUUGACGUAUGGAUUCUGCCACGGAACAAUCAAAUUGCCCGUACUUGGCAAAGUUU
rnacentral:lncRNA from 10 species